GGGACAUUAGGCGUGAGAAGUUAUGAUAGUGCAUGAUGUUUUUCAGAUCAUAUAGCUUUGAUAGGAGAAAAUCUGGAAAAAGUUAACUGUAAGCUCGAAUAGAGAGUAGCACUUUAAGGGAAGGGACUAUAAGGAUAAGUAGAAUUAAAACAGAGUAUGAGUUUAUUGGAAUACGAUAAGACAGCUAAUGACAAUUAGGGAUAAUUUG